rnacentral:lncRNA from 1 species
UCUUCAGGCUGUGUCCUCUGUGCAGGUCCAGAGCCUGUACCUCAAAAGGGUCUGCAGUAUCUGGUGCUCCUGUCUCAUACACACAGUCGGGAAUGCAGCCUAGUGCCUGGGCUUCGAGGGCCUGGAGGUGGAGAGGGGGAGCUUGUGUGGGAGUGCUCAGCAGGCCACACAUUCUCCUGGGAACCUUCUUUGAUUCCUACACCUUCAGAAGUGCCUAAGCAGGCCCCUCUUACACACACUACUGAGAGAACCUGGUGCUCAGAGGCCAGGAGGAAGCAGGAAGCUGAAGGCUUGGAAUGUGAGCAUCGAGAGAGGACUCAAGAAACCAGGCUCUCCAGGAGAGUAGAGCCUCCAUUGGAGACAGACCCAUCCGUAGGAGAGGAUCAGGUUGUGGAAGAGGAGGAGGAGGAAGAAGAGGAGGAGGAAGAAGAAGAGCUGCUCAGUGAUGCCAGCCCAUGGACCUACAGCUCCUCCCCAGAUGAGCCAGUUGGGAUUGAGGGAGGAUGUGGAACAGAUUGAGAGAGGGAGGAGGCAGCGGGUCACAGACUUCAGAGAUGUGCCGGCUAGAGGGAUGGUCUUGUUGCAUGGUGGGCAGGACAGAUGCUGAGGAAAGUGAACUUUAGCCUUUGAAUUGGGGAUGUGGAAAGGGAUAAACUAAGUCUCGGGGAGGCUAAGAGUAAGAGAGUGGGUUGUGGGAGUUGGAGUUUUUCUACUUAGGGGUUAGAGGUGACUAAUGCUCUCCUGCUUCUCUUUCCAGCAGUGAACCAGAUGUCCCUAGGCCACCUCCAUCCCCUGUUACCCACACACCUAAGGAGGGAGAGAUCCCACCAGUACCUGCAACUCUGCCCACUCCUUGUGCUGUUCUUGCCUCUUUGGGUUCUACAGCUGCUUUGACAUCAGAUACUGAGGUGCAGAUGGAACUCAGCAGGACCUCUCAGGUGCCUGCAGAGCUGCAAAUGACUGAGUCUCUGGACAGCCCUGGGAGUCAGGCCCAGUCUGCUCCGAAUCCGACUUGUGAUGAGGAUACUGCCCAGAUUGGGCUCAGGAGAAUUAGGAAAGCCGCCAAGAGAGAGCUGAUGCCCUGUGACUUCCCUGGCUGUGGAAGGAUCUUCUCCAACCGGCAGUAUUUGAAUGUGAGGGACACAGGUUGAGGCCUGUGUGGCCACUGGGGUUGGGGUGGAAGCUGAGGGAAAGACACCCCGGGCUGAGGUGUAAAUGUAGCUCAGUUAUAGUGCAAUUGUCUAGCGUGUGCAAGGCAACA